AAGCGCUUGUGACCAGACUUGCGCCGGGCAGAUCAUCCGGUGUUCUCACCGGUGCACUCUGCCCGGCUCAGGCCAGCAUCGGUUCUCGUGGGGGGAUAAAGGUCCCGGGAACGUAGCUCCUCCGGGAGUGUUAUAGCCCGGGGCGUAAUGCCCUCGUGGGGACCGAGGUUCGCGCAUCUGCAAGGAUGCUGGCGUAAUGGUCAUCAGCGA
rnacentral:rRNA from 1 species